GAUGAACGCUGGCGGCGUGCUUAACACAUGCAAGUCGAACGGAAAGGCUCCUGCUUGCAGGGGUACUCGAGUGGCGAACGGGUGAGUAACACGUGGGUGAUCUGCCCUGCACUUCGGGAUAAGCCUGGGAAACUGGGUCUAAUACCGGAUAGGACGAUGGUUUGGAUGCCAUUGUGGAAAGUUUUUCGGUGUGGGAUGAGCUCGCGGCCUAUCAGCUUGUUGGUGGGGUAAUGGCCUACCAAGGCGUCGACGGGUAGCCGGCCUGAGAGGGUGUACGGCCACAUUGGGACUGAGAUACGGCCCAGACGCCUACGGGAGGCAGCGGUGGGGAAUAUUGCACAAUGGGCGCAAGCCUGAUGCAGCGACGCCGCGUGGGGGAUGACGGCCUUCGGGUUGUAAACUCCUUUCGCUAGGGACGAAGCGUUUUGUGACGGUACCUGGAGAAGAAGCACCGGCUAACUACGUG
rnacentral:rRNA from 1 species